AGUGAACGCUGGCGGUAGGCCUAACACAUGCAAGUCGAACGGCAGCACAGUAAGAGCUUGCUCUUACGGGUGGCGAGUGGCGGACGGGUGAGGAAUACAUCGGAAUCUACUUUUUCGUGGGGGAUAACGUAGGGAAACUUACGCUAAUACCGCAUACGACCUACGGGUGAAAGCAGUGGAUCUUCGGACCUUGCGCGAUUGAAUGAGCCGAUGUCGGAUUAGCUAGUUGGCGGGGUAAAGGCCCACCAAGGCGACGAUCCGUAGCUGGUCUGAGAGGAUGAUCAGCCACACUGGAACUGAGACACGGUCCAGAGUCCUAAGGGAGGCAGCAGUGGGGAAUAUUGGACAAUGGGCGCAAGCCUGAUCCAGCCAGACCGCGUGGGUGGAGAAGGCCUUCGGGUUGUAAAGCCCUUUUGUUGGGAAAGAAAAGCAGCAGGUUAAGACCCAGCUGUUCUGACGGUACCCAAAGAAUAAGCACCGGCUAACUUCGUG
rnacentral:rRNA from 1 species